rnacentral:lncRNA from 1 species
UUUUAUUUUUAUUUAUUAUUUAUUUAUUUAUUUAUUUUUUGAGAUGGAGUUUCGCUCUUGUUGCCCAGGCUGGAGUGCAAUGGUGAGAUCUCUGCUCACUGCAACCUCCACCUCCCAGGUUCAAGGGAUUCUUGUGCCUCAGCCUCCUGAGUAGCUGAGAUUACAGGCACCCACCACCACGUCCGGCUAAGUUGUUGUUUUUUGUUUUUGUUCUUGUUUUUUUGAGAGAUGGAGUCUUGAUCUGUCACCCAGGCUGGAGUGGAGUGGCGGUAUCUCGGCUCACUGCAACCUCCACCUCCCGGGUUUGAGCGAUUCUCCUGCCUCAGCUUCCCAAGUAGCUGGGACCACAGACGUUUGCCACCACUCCCAGUUAAUUUUUGUAUUUUUUUAGUAGAGUUGGGGUUUCACUAUAUGUUGGCCAGCCUGGUCUCAAACUCCUGACCUCAGGUGAUCUGCCCACCUCGGCCUCCCAAAGUGUUGGGAUUAUAGGCGUGAGCCACCGUGCCUGGCCAAUUUUUUGUAUUUUUUUGUAGAGACGGGGUUUCACCAUGUUGGCCAGGCUGGUCUUGAAUUCCUGGCCUCAGGUUAUCCGCCUGCCUGAGCCUCCCAAAGUGCUGGAUUACAGGCAUGACCCACCAAACCCAGCCCAAAUAUAUUUGCAUAUAUAUAUAUUUUAAUAUCCCACGCCUACACUCUGGGAUAACUCAGCUCUUACAGGCAGUAAUCAUGGGUCAGACCUGCCAUUAUCCAGUUCAGCCCAUUUCAUUUGACAGACACCUGGUGAAUAGAGACAUGCAGGGACUCUUGUCCACAUUUGCCCAGUUGGCUGAUAGCACAGUGUACAAAGUCUGUCUGCAGCAGGUCAUAAUUUCACAGCUCUGCCACAUGCAUGUAUAUCACUGUACCAAGCGUGUUCACAUGGUAUGGUGCUGACACAUGUUGACGGAAUGUGGUACAGACCCUCUGUGUGAAGUGUGUUCACACAGUGCGGUGCUGACCCUCUGUAUGAAGCGUGUUCACACGGUGCGGUGCUGACCCUCUGUAUGAAGCAUGUUCACGUAGUGCAGUGCUGACUCUGUAUGAAGUGUGUUCACACAAUGAGGUGCUGAUCUUCUGUAUGAAGCAUGUUCACAUGGUGCAGUACUGACUCUCUGUUUGAAGUGUGUUCACAUGGUGCAGUGCUGAUCUUCUGUAUGAAGCAUGUUCACACGGUGCAGUACUGACUCUCUGUAUGAAGUGUGUUCACACGGUGCGGUGCUGACUCUCUGUAUGAAGCGUGUUCACACAGUGCGGUGCUGACUCUCUGUAUGAAGCAUGUUCACACGGUGCGGUGCUGACUCUCUGUAUGAAGUGUGUUCACCUGGUGCAGUACAGGCUCUCUGCAUGAAGCAUGUUCACACAGUGCGGUGCUGACCCUCUGUAUGAAGCGUGUUCACACAGUGCAUGUGAAACCAGAACCGACAGUCGAACCCAAGCAGAAGUCUUGACCAAGCACUUCCCUCCUGGGAAUGCACCAUGAUAUCACCACACCGAAGUCCAGGCUGGCAAACAGGGAUGUACACGCAGGGGAGACGAGAACUUCUCCCGUGAGAAACAGCACAGUCCAGCCAUAUGAA